GUCCCCCGGAGCCGGCGACACCGUGCCGGAUUUGUGGCUCGAGUCCUCCUCGUCGGAGAAAUCGGCGGACGACGACAUGGAGCAGCGGUGGGACGUGGGGCCGGAGCUCUGCGCGGGGACAAGCACACACAGGGGUGCUUGAUGGUAAAGUUCAGAGGGGAUGGAGAGAGGGAAGGGAUGCAUAAAGACAACAACUAAAUUUCCCUCUGUAUGGUGACAGAGGGAGAGCACCGGGUAGCACAGAUAAACAGGAACACGAGAUGUAUGACCCCAGCCCUAACUAUCUCUGCAAUUAGUCUGAGUAGCCAGGAACAUUCUGCUGCCAGUUUACCCAGGAAGGUAAAACUCUCCAUCUAAUCUCAUAAAUUGGGAGGGUCACAGGCCGGUGUCUUGCUGGCAGCCCGCUGCGGGGCAGGGAGGGCAGCUGGCUGUGCCGCUGGGGUAACAGGGCCUGGGAUGUGCUUUGGCACAGAUGAGGUUUCCUGGGGCCUGGCCAUAGCUCCAGAUUUUGCAAUGAAAGAGAAAGUGUUCCCUUUAAUCCCAGCGCUGAGCAUCCUUCUCUUGGCUGCUCGGUAAUCCUCAGUAUUUUUGGGUCACACAUGGAGAUGGAGGCAGAUUUUGCCCUGCAAUGUCUUCAGGUUCUGCAUUUCUACCAUUUCACAUGAAAACUUACAAAGAAACCAGACAUGGUGUUGUGAGGGUGCUGCAGUGAUACUUUGUUAGUAUUUAGCUAGCAGCUGGACACAUACAAGGACAAAGUAAAAUAGCAAUUGUUACUGAAGCUUCAGAGAAAGAAAUCGCAACCCUAUGUUUACCUUUAAAAGAACAUGUUAAUUUUUAUCCAGCAAGUAUCUCUUUUCUCAAAAGAAACCAUAAUAGCCAUUCUUGUUUAAAUAACCGAUUUUAAAGCUCCUUCUACCCUUAGAAACCAAAAGCGCUGUCAAGGGACGGCUCUAUACAUACCACUGAAUGUGCCACACCCUCUAUUGAGAGGUCAAUUUUAGGGAAAAGGAGACUGUUCUGGUCAGCUGUGCUGUGGUACUGGGAGAUGAGCUCUGUGACAAGACGCAGCUCCCACAUUUUUGAGAAAUUAAACUCAGCGGGCAAAGGUAGAACAGUCCUUGGCACCUAUGUGCAUUCUAAUUAGCUCUGCUCUUUUACAUUGUUCCUCGUCCUUACUUCAUGCACGCACUAACAAAACUAAUGAACAAAACCCACUUCAGCUUACUAACUCUUCAGGAAUCACGUUACCUCAUUUUCUGAAAAAAAGGUAGGAUUCUUGGAAAGAAAUUUUUCAUAAUAGGGAGAUCUGGCAAACUUGCAUCUAAAAAGUCAUGGUAAUGCCAACUUUUAACUUAAUUACAGCCUACAUUUUUUACUCAGCAUGGAGAUACUUCUGAGUAAUGCAUACACAGAGCUAUUGAACACCUGAGUAUUUUUAAGAAUUUGGACUUUGCUAUUGCAAAGACGUUUGUAAUGAAGUUGAACAACUGCUUAGCUUUGCUUGAGUAAAUUAAUAGCUUUGAUAAGAAGUCUGUAAUUAUUCUCUUUUGCACAGCCACUGUUCAAAACAUGCUUAACAGUCCUUCUGCUGGAUUGUUUGUUUCCAGCAAACACAUUUUCCAUGCCAUAGCAGUAAGACCCGAGUAAGCAUUCCAUGAUUACAGCAACAUGUUCACCAAUUUAAAAAAAUAUAUAUCAGAAAAUCUGUGAUAUCCUGAAAAGGGUUCCGGGCUGAUUAGUAUUGAACAAGAAAAAAAUUGGUCAUAUUGUGUUAAAAUCCAAUUAUGUAAGGCACUUCUGUUAUUUUUCUUUAAAGCACAUCACGGUAUGCAAGUGAAAAACAACUGUUAGUAAUACACGACACAUUUUUUGGUCACGGGUGAAGUGUCUUUUAUAACCACUAAAAUAUUGAUCAGGCACAUCCUUACUUAGCCUACCCUGAGACUUAACAAGGGUCAGGGCUUGACCCUGCUUAGCUGGAAGGCCCGUAGGGUCACUCUCCAGCUGCUAUAGCUGCUUAUUCUAUGCCUCCGAUUAUGCAUUCCUUCUGCUCAUUAGACUAAAGAUUGAUCUGUAGCCUCUGUUUUUGGUCAGGGGGAACCAGUGAAUUUGCAUAAUAUUCAUGCAUCUAACAGCUUGUGCAUUGAAGCCUGUUGGUCAUACAUAAGCAAAUCUAAGAUGAGUUUUGUCUGCAUUAUAAGUACAGGAUUAAAUUUAAUGCAUCGCCUCACCGUCAGGGCCACAGGGGGGUGCAAACUGCACGCAGAGUCCCUGCUGCUGUGUUUCAGGAGGCAGAGCGGCUGGGGCCAGCCGGCAUUCAGGAGAGCAGCAUUCGUUGCUGCCAGUAUCUCGGUUUUUCUCUGAAAUCAGGUGACUUGCAGCAGCUGAGAGUCAGGCCUGUUACUGUGCUAUAAAAGCAAGGCAGUUUCCAGUAAUGGGGAUGACUCCAAAGAAGCGUUAGUGUGCUUCUUGUAAAAGGGAGUUGGCGAAGCAUCAAGCCGUGAUUUUCCUUUGAGGAGGGAAAGAAGGAUCGUUGUUGUAGGUAAGGCACUGCAGAUGAUCAAGUGGAAAUCAGGUGGAAGAUGGUGCAGCUGGAAAGCAGUGUACGCUAACACACAGCACCAUGUACCCGAGGAGCCACACCUACGGGAUCUGAUACCCCCAGGAACGCCAGUGGGAUUUGCACUGUCAUUCCUCACAGGGGAAACAGCGGCAGAGAUUUACUGUAGCAGUUUUUGAAUUCUGUCAAGCAAUCGAGCUGGCAAAAGCAGCUAAGAGGCUCAUACCGAAUCAUAUUGGAAAUGUUCUCCAUCUUUAUGACGUUGGAGAUUGCGCUGCCUGCUGAAUUCUGAUAAAGCAGUAGGAGUUAUAGGUAUGCUGUACUUUCCCAUCUUAUUUUUAAGAAGGAUUUCCACUGCAGUGGGUCCUUUCACACUGUUUUUUUGGAAGCUGCUGGGAAGUAUGGCUCAACAUUGCCCUGUGCUUCUGACUGAGAUUAAAUUCUCAGUUCAGCUAAGAGUUAUUUGUACAUCACUCAUACUGAACUAUUCUCAGAAUUCCAGGAAUACAUUCUCUUUUCCUUCAUCAUACUCAUUGUGGACAAUGAAUAAACAUGAACAGAUAUAAAGGAGCAUGGUUUUGCUGCAUGUGUUUCAACAAAAUCCUUCCUAAUUUAGAAUAACUUAGAUAUCAGUUGAAUAUAACAUGCUAUUUUUGUCUUUUAACAUCCCAGAUUGAAUGAUAUUAAAGUGGAUCAACUUUUAAAGUGAAGUUACUUAGUAAAUUUGAGACAAAAUCUAGGGCAACUGCAUGUUCCCAUUAGUAAAUCUUUACCAGUUUAACCUGAUUAGAUGAUAAUGCCAUGCACAAUACAAAACAUCCAAUGUAUGUAAUCAGGCUAGGCAAGCCCCUUGGGAAUGCAUGUUGUCAGAAAUUACCAAAAUUCAAAACAGACACAGAAAUGAAAGUACAAACAAGGGCAAUGUAAAAAGCAACGAUGCUGACAGAGAAAGAAAGGAAGAGAGAAAGAAAAAGAAAAUCCACCAGUGGGGACUGAGUUGUAUUUAAUAAGUAUUUUCUCUCUGGUUCUGUGCCAGUCAUUUAAGAGGACAUCCAUGUUUGAAAGUGCCUACGCUACCAGGAUAUGCAAACAUAACUAGUUUCUGGCUUUGUGUAUAAAGUUAUAAAGCAGAAAACUGGAGGGCAAAUACUCUAAAUAUCAACCUCCAAAGCAUCAAAGGUCUGAUUCUCUGUUAAACUACCUUAGUGAACAGUUAAGUUUUUCAUGAAGACAAAUUAUUGCUUUGUAGAGAUAAUUUACAUUGUCUGUCUAUCUUACAGGCAAGAGAAGACGGAAAUAAGCAUUCAGUGUUUAUUCUAUCACAUGCAGAACAUGUAUUUUGAGCCUGUGAUUGUAUUUACAAAAGGAAAUCCUGAUAAUUUCAUAGGCUUUCAAAAGGAGAUGGGUUCUUUUCGAGAUGCUUGUAAGUCAAUUUCUACCAUUUCCCCACUUUGAAAAAAAAAAAAACUUAAAGAGGUAAGAAGACAACAAAUGUAUUAUUAAGGACAUGAAAUUCCACAGCACAUAAAGGACUAGACCUACAUAUGUACUUGGAUAUUGCAACCCAUUUUUCUAACUUCAAGCUACGUUUAUUGGAUAACCACCUAAAACUCAAGUGAUACAAAACUGAGUUUUCUGGUCAGAACUAAGUAGUCAGAAAAAUGUGGUCACCCGGGACAACACAGUCCCUCGUUCAAGAGUUCAAGACUUCUUGGCGCAGAAAGAGAAAGUGAAGAGUGCAGCGAUCUGCAUCAGAGCCAUCAAGGCUCUCUGCGGAAAGAGGAAAGUGCUGGGUUACGAUCCCUGCUCCCACGACUGCUUAUGCAGUCUGCUAUAAGUAAUAAUUGGAUAAAAUACUGAAGUAGUUGCUGGAUGAGACAUGUGCAGUGGAGGCAAAAGAAACCACAAUGCAGCUUGUGUACUGUUUCUCUCUACUGCAGGGAUACAAUAGAUACCAAGUACUUAUUGGUCUGAAGUGAUACUGUUCUCUGUAACUUAACAAAAUAACAAUAAAUCAGUGAAUAUUACGCCACAGAGAGCAGAGUUUCUGUUCCAUUUACUUUACGUAUUGGUGAUCUCCUUCAGGAGCAACAAGUUGAGAGAUGCUCCACGUUUGCAAUUCCCUGCUAACAGUGUGAUGAGCUGCCACAGUAAUCUCCACAGGUCUCAAUUUCUACCACUGACAGUGGGGUAAGAGAAAAGUAAAGCAGAAACUUUUCUCUGAGGAAACUCUCUGGAGUUUAUAUGUUGCUGUGCAGGGGAAACCUGCUUGUUGCUUUUUUGUUUGCUUGUUUCUUUUCUUUUUCAAAUUAAUAGAUUGAAAAGCAAGGCAUACUUCACUCUGUAUAAGUAAGAAGAUCUGUACACAAGUGGAGCCAAAUAUGUUCAGCUGAAAGUAGCCACUUUGUGCCAAAGCCCAGUUCUCCUGAAGCGCUGUUUAGUAAAACCGUGCUAAUGAAAGUGGAUUCAUUCUGAAUGUAGCUUGAAAACGAAUAAUAUCAUCAGCAAGACAGCCUUGAUGUACUCCAUAUUUAAUCCAUUCCCCUAUUUCUCAUCCACUUCUCUAUUCAGUUUUUCAAUAUGAAUUGCAGGAUUUAAUCUCAAAAUAGUGUAUGUACAUUGUAGAAUUAGAUAGAAAGGUAUUGAAGAUUUUGCAGAUGGGAAAGAAAUAUUUGGAGCUCUGAGCAUCUGGGAAGCAUGUGGAAUAGGUAUUUCAGUAGAGUUUUAUGCUAAAACCAUCAGCAAGAUGGAAGUGUUACUCCCAUUAAAAUUAUCUUUUCAAAAUCAAUGCUUCCUAGAUAUUAAUAUGGGAAGUACCUACAAUGUCACAACUUCACAGCCUCCGAAUUCACAGUCUCAUGUGAAUUAUUUUUGUGGAAGAAGUGCAUAUACCUUAGAUGACUGCUGUACAUAGCUGUUGCAAAAAAACUCUCAUUUACUAAAAAUAAACUUUGUAUUAACUUUAAAUUGUAUCUAUCUUGCAUUCACUCAGAUCCUCCUAGUCUGUCAGGCACAGAAGAGAAUGAAGUGACAGAUAAGCUUAUGGUCUGAGAAGGGCACACGGUAAUUUUAUCUGCUUACUAAGCCCACAGGACCGAUCAUGCAACAGACAAAGAGUCUGGAAGAAGAAAUCGCCUAGCCUCAAAUGCUUUUCUCAGCCUCCUAUACUUCUCACUGUAGAUUACAUAUAAUGUUUUAGUAAAAAAAAAAAAAAAACAAAUUACCCCAACUGUAAAAGGUAGAUCAGAGUAUGAAAGCACUAUGGACAGAAAAAAGGCACAUUAAAGUUUUAAAUGAUUUUAGAAUCUCUGAUGGGCACAGGUUGUUUCAAGGAAAAAAAAAAAAAAAAAAAAAGGAAGACUUAGAAAAUAUUUUUUUUAAAUGACAUAAUGGAAAUCUAAAAUAUUAGUAUUGAUAUUCUGCUUUCAGUCAUGAAUGUUAACAUUCCUGACUGACAGGUUACCCUCCUUUUAGGCUUAAACAUUCAUUUGUUCUUUUUAAGCUGUUUUAAAAGUUGCAUAACAGCAUUCAAUCAAUAUUUAACCAUUUGAAAAUGUAAGUUCUUGUAUUACACAACAGCAGUAAUAUCGUUAAUAAUUAUCAAAUUGUUUUCUCUUGUAAAAUCAAUUUCAGUUGCCUCAUCUUAUGUUUGGUUGAAAACACUCCCUGCCCAAAGCUGGAUUUUCCCCAAAUUUUUCAAAGGCUGACUCAGAAGCCUGAGAGCAGGACUGAUGAAAAUAUCCAGUAGGUUUUCUGAGGACUCUGGGCUUCAGAACAGAUUUCAGUUCUCAAUAUUCUUCAUGCUAGACACAGACCUUUUGUCCUCUUUCUUAAAGGCUUGUCUAAAUUUGCCAGUGCUAAGUCUUUAAAAUAUAAAUAUCAUCUGCUAGCCUUGGCAUCAGGGAGUAUAAAGUAAAGCUCUUGAAAGCUUGGGUUGAAUCUCACUACUCUGACUAGAAAGCUGCUCCAGAACUUACUGUUCCCUUGAUUAGAAGUAAUUUUCCUUUAGUUGCCACCUGAAAUUCAUACCUGCUCUUUAGUUUUUGUGACAACAACAUUCAUUUCCUUAAAUAUGUUUUUUUGCUUCGCUGAUGCGUUCAUAGCCUGCACUGUACCUCCUCUCAGCAUUUUUUGGUUUUGCUGAGCAAGCCAACUUCUUUUAAUCUCUUAUCUGCUUGUCCUUCUCAUCUCAUAGACCUUCUCUGCAACAUUAAGCUUCACUAUUCCUAGGGCUCAGGUGACUACCAGUGUGAUUUUACCAGAACUUAAAAAACAAAAAGAGAAAAA